GAUCAUUAGCUCCUCCUUUUCUAUUUACUUGUUUAAAAAACAGAUCUCUCAUUCACAUCUGUUUCUCUUCUUCUUUCAAUAAUGUACUAUACAACAAAAAGAUACUGUGAUACUGACUGAAGGAUAGGAUCUGUGUAAUAAUAUUUGCCGUUGUUUCUGGUGAGACUAAUUUUUGGCUUUGUUUUUUGUUAUUGUUUUUUUAUUUUCACUAAAUUGCAAAUUGCCAGACAGCAUAAUCUACAGAGAGGAAGAAGUUCCUGAAUAACUGUAUGUCUACAAACUCAGAGCAUCACAAUCAUCACAACCCAGAGAACAGAAGAGCAUCAACAGAGCAGAUCUGACUUACUAAACAUGGACAGACACUUGAUACUGAUUUUAAUCAUGACUUUAGGUGCAAAGGCAGCAGACCAGAUUGGGCCAAAUCAGGGUGAAAAAGUCAUCAGUACUGAAGGAGAGUCUGUGAGAUUAAGCUGCUCAUAUGAUACAAGUAGCAGAGAUGUUAGACUUUACUGGUACAGACAGUAUCUUAAUAAAGAACCUCAGUAUUUAAUCUGGAAAGGUGCUCGGGACCGGGGUGGUACUACUGGAACCCCUGCUGAUCGUCGCUUUCAGUCGACUGCAUCAGAAAAAUCCACUGAACUCACUAUUACUGGUGUAACUCUGUCAGAUUCAGCUCUCUAUUACUGUGCUCUAAGAGUUGGAGCCCAGUGA